rnacentral:lncRNA from 1 species
AAUUAAAUAACGACACAGAAUUAAUAAACUACAUGGAAUUAAUUAAUGACACGGAAUUAAUUAAUGGCACGGAAUUAAUUACUGACACGGCAUUAAUGACUCGGACUUGAUGAGAUGGAAUUAAAUAAUGACACGGGCUUAACAACACGAAAUUAGUUAACGACACAGGAUUAAUUAACGGCACGGAAUUUGGCGGAUUUCCGGGGAAUUAAGGCAAAAUCCGGCGCAAAUGUGACAACACGAAAAUUAAUAACACAGGAUUAAUUAAUUAACGACACAGAGUUAAUUAAUUAAUGCCACUGGAAUGUCACAGAAUUCCCGGGGGACUCCCGGGCAUUUUCCAGAUUUUUCCCGUUUUUUUUCUCAUUUUCCCCCCAAUUUUUUUUAGGGAUUUUCCAAAGGGAUUUUUGGGGGAAUUCCCUAAGUGUUUUUGGGGGAUUUUCUGGGGUUUUACCAAGGGAAUUUUUUGGGGGAAUUUGCAGAAAAUUCCCAGGGGAUUUUUGGGGGGAAUUUUUGGGAUUUCCAGAAAAUUCCCAGGUGAUUUU